UUAAGAUUAAUUGCACUGAACUUGAUACAUAUCGUACAGCACCUUGAAAAUGAAUCAUCCACUAAAUCAGUAUUUUCUAAUUACAAUCCCUCCCUCUCGGGGCAUGUAAUUAAUUCACUGAGUUAAAAAAAAAAAUAAGUCAGGAUUACUCACACAGUCUUGAAGAUGCAAUGUCAGCUAUUUAGGACAGAAACAUCCAAGGCCGUGUUAGAACUCAGUUAGGACUACAAAUGCGUUAAAGCAGGAACUGGCAGGCCUCUGGACUACAGCAACUAUAGGACUCGUGCUUCUCGUACAUGGGGCUAUAAUUUAUGAAACUGAGCCCCAGAUCCAGCCAAUCAGUUAGCUCCUCAUAACAAGUCUAACUGGCUCUGGAAAGCUGAAAGGGCUGCACUAGAACAACAAGGAUGAGAUAUUCCACACAAUCCUCUGCUUAUCCGGACUCACUUCUCCCUGCGAGGUCAGAGAAAAAUCACAGCUUCGCUGACAGAGGGAAGGAGUGCAGAUGACCUGGAAAAAUGUGACUAGAUCUGGAACAAGAUCUUGUCCGGCUUGGCCGUCCCAACCAUGCCUGCAUUCAAAGACUAAGCUCCCCCCAGAAAACCAAGGACAGCUACAGCAGCAAAACCUGAGCUCUGGAAGUACCCAAGCAGGGGGGCAACAUCCAUCAAAACCAUCUGCAAACACAAUUGUACUGAAACAAGAGGAGAAGCUCCAAGGAUAUGAAAGACUUGCUUCUUGGUCUCGACAUUUUAGAAUCAUGAGCUCCUUUGAGAAUCAGAUGAAAUCCAUGAAACUUGAGAACAAUGUUCCAAAAGAGCAAAAUAGGCCUCAUGGAGCUCAAGAACCACCUCAAACUGACUUCUAAACGUCGGACCUAAGUGGGAUCUCUGGAACAUGAGCUCAUUGGUAAGCUGAGACUGCAAUAACUGGUUUAAUCACAUAGUAUAUACAUGGUUUAGCGAAAAAGGACUUAAUCUCAGCCAUGGCCCUUAGUUUCUGGUUCUCGCUCUACAACUACAUAUGAUGGGUCUCUGGGAUCCUUUCCAUCUGUGAAUACCUGGAGGCCUGAGAACAUCAACCUUCACAGAUGAGUUGUAGUUAAUCUGCUCUGUAGACAUUCCCUGGUUGGUUUCUGUACCUAGGCUGGAUUCCUUGUUUUUCAGGGACAGACAGGACCUUAUCUGAUUCUAUUUUAUAUCCACUCCAAGAAUACAAAUUAAUGUCAACACUGCUGAUUACACAUCGGUCACUGCCUUCCAUGGUAGGUGUGUAACUCUACUGCACCUGACUUGAUAUAAUAACCAGUAAAUAACUGCUAAAAUAAACCAACCAGAAUGACUGAGAUUCUAUUUAGAAUCUUUCAAAAUUACAUAAAAAUAGAUCUAUUUUGUUCGGGUUGGAUACUUCUACAAAAUGUCUAGACACGCAUAUUCAUUGGCCAUCUCUUUAACUUAAAUAAAAUGUUUAUACAUUAUUCCUAUU
rnacentral:lncRNA from 1 species